rnacentral:rRNA from 1 species
GGAGUUAGCCGGUGCUUCUUCUGUGAGUGAUGUCCUUCCUGCCGGCUAUUAACCCGCAGGCCUUCUUCCUCACUGAAAGUGCUUUACAACCCGAAGGCCUUCUUCACACACGCGGCAUGGCUGGAUCAGGGUUGCCCCCAUUGUCCAAUAUUCCCCACUGCUGCCUCCCGUAGGAGUCUGGGCCGUGUCUCAGUCCCAGUGUGGCUGAUCAUCCUCUCAGACCAGCUACGGAUCGUCGCCUUGGUGAGCCGUUACCUCACCAACCAGCUAAUCCGACAUAGGCUCAUCCGAUAGCGCGAGGCCCGAAGGUCCCCCGCUUUCCCCCGUAGGGCGUAUGCGGUAUUAUCCUGGGUUUCCCCAGGUUAUCCCCCACUACCGGGCAGAUUCCUAUGCAUUACUCACCCGUCCGCCGCUCGCCACCAGGGAGCAAGCUCCCCGUGCUGCCGCUCGACUUGCAUGUGUUAGGCCUGCCGCCAGCGUUCAAUCUGAGCCAGAAUCGAACCCUGA